rnacentral:rRNA from 1 species
AGGAGAGUUUGAUCCUGGCUCAGGAUGAACGCUAGCGGCAGGCUUAACACAUGCAAGUCGCGGGGCAGCGCGGGUAGCAAUACCUGGCGGCGACCGGCGGAAGGGUGCGUAACGCGUGAGCAACAUGCCCGUAUCAGGGGGAUAACCGAUGGAAACGUCGCCUAAUACCCCAUAACAACAGUUCCCGCAUGGGUAUUGUUUGAAAGUUACGGCGGAUACGGAUUGGCUCGCGUGACAUUAGCUAGUUGGCGGGGUAACGGCCCACCAAGGCUACGAUGUCUAGGGGUUCUGAGAGGAAGGUCCCCCACACUGGAACUGAGACACGGUCCAGACUCCUACGGGAGGCAGCAGUGAGGAAUAUUGGUCAAUGGGCGCAAGCCUGAACCAGCCAUGCCGCGUGCAGGAAUGAGGCCCUAUGGGUCGUAAACUGCUUUUGCUGUGGAGCAAUAAGCGUUACGUGUAGCGCGAUGAGAGUACACAGCGAAUAAGCAUCGGCUAACUCCGUGCCAGCAGCCGCGGUAAUACGGAGGAUGCGAGCGUUAUCCGGAUUUAUUGGGUUUAAAGGGUGCGUAGGCUGUUCGUCAAGUCAGUGGUGAAAUGCCGGGGCUCAACCCCGGAGCUGCCAUUGAUACUGUCGGGCUUGAAUCCUGCUGCCGUGGGAGGAAUGAGUAGUGUAGCGGUGAAAUGCAUAGAUAUUACUCAGAACACCGAUUGCGAAGGCAUCUCACGAAACAGGCAUUGACGCUGAGGCACGAAAGCGUGGGGAUCAAACAGGAUUAGAUACCCUGGUAGUCCCCU